UACGGAGGAUGCAAGCGUUAUCCGGAAUGAUUGGGCGUAAAGCGUCCGCAGGUGGCUAUGUAAGUCUGCUGUUAAAGAGUGAGGCUCAACCUCAUAAGAGCAGUGGAAACUACAUGGCUAGAGUGCGUUCGGGGCAGAGGGAAUUCCUGGUGUAGCGGUGAAAUGCGUAGAGAUCAGGAAGAACACCGGUGGCGAAAGCGCUCUG
rnacentral:rRNA from 1 species